UACGGGAGGAGCGAGCAUUAUUCGGAAUGAUUAGGCGUAAAGAGUUUGUAGGUGGUUUUUUUAAGUUGGAAAAAAACAAAUAAAGCUCAACUUUAUAAAUUUUUUCAAAACUGAUAAACUAGAGUAUAUAUAGAGGAUAAUGGAAUUUUUAUUGGAGGGAUAAAAUACGUUGAUAAUAGAAGGAAGGCCAAAAGCGAAGGCAAUUGUCUGGGUCUAUACUGACACUGAGAAACGAAAGCUUGGGUAGCAAACGGG
rnacentral:rRNA from 1 species